rnacentral:lncRNA from 1 species
UGAGGUCUCUCCAGCCAUGUGGAACUUGUGUAUCUGUUUUAUUGCUUGUGAACAUUUUCAUCAGAGGAGAAAAGAAGGAGAUGGAGAAACCAUUUAUCGAAGACUUACCAUGUACCCUGCAUUAUAUGUACAUGAGAGAUACAGUAACAAUCCUAGAUACAAUCCUAGGAGGAAGUUGGGAACCACAAAUUGACAGAUUGUUUUUCUGCAUAAUAGAAGCAAAGUAAAGGGAAAUAAUAUUGCAUUUCUUAUACCUGGGCCCACACUCUCGAAC